UCCUGAAUGGUCCAAAAUGGCAUCUGUCAUUGAUGGAUUUUCCCAUUUUCGAAAUCACAGAUGCUAUCAAUCUAAACUAAAAUUUAAGUUGUUAUAGGUGUACAAUGCUAUUCAAAAUUAAAGCACUCUUAAGGUGAUUACUUAGAAGAUAUCAAGCAAUGCGAUGAAGUAGCAAUGGUGGCAUUUUAUGAAGAUUGCCGCAAACAGAAGAAUAAGAAAACCAUUAAUCUUCCCCAUGAAUCCUUUAUUCAGAACGCAGAUUUGAAAUUUCAUUAGUUCGGAUUUUAAAUUGCAGAUGCAAAUUUGUUUAUGCGAUACGAAAUAUGAAAGGAUUGAGUGAACCUUAAAACUGCAGUAACAAAAAAUAUAAUUAGAUUAUAUUCAGAUUAAAUUCGGCCAUUCAAUUCAGAUUAAACUGCUGAAAUUACCUGCUUCAGUAGGACCA